UACGGGGGGGGCAAGCGUUGUUCGGAAUUACUGGGCGUAAAGGGCUCGUAGGCGGCCAACUAAGUCAGACGUGAAAUCCCUCGGCUCAACCGGGGAACUGCGUCUGAUACUGGAUGGCUUGAAUCCGGGAGAGGGAUGUGGAAUUCCAGGUGUAGCGGUGAAAUGCGUAGAUAUCUGGAGGAACACCGGUGGCGAAGGCGGCAUCCUGGACCGGUAUUGACGCUGAGGAGCGAAAGCCAGGGGAGCAAACGGG
rnacentral:rRNA from 1 species